CUUCUUGCUACACCCUCACGACUAAUGACAGUGCUCAAUCCUUUAAGGACUCUCAUUAGCCGCGCGAGUCACUGUAGCGGAAGAGGUUUAAAUUUUAGAAACGGUAAAAAUAGGGUUUAAAUCUCUUAACUCCGGUUUCUAUCAAUUCCGUUUCCUAGAAGAAAAGGGGCCCGAUUAGGCCCCUUUUC
rnacentral:sRNA from 1 species